GACGAACGCUGGCGGCGUGCUUAACACAUGCAAGUCGAACGGAAAGGCCCUGCUUUUGUGGGGUGCUCGAGUGGCGAACGGGUGAGUAACACGUGAGUAACCUGCCCUUGACUUUGGGAUAACUUCAGGAAACUGGGGCUAAUACCGGAUAGGAGCUCCUGCUGCAUGGUGGGGGUUGGAAAGUUUCGGCGGUUGGGGAUGGACUCGCGGCUUAUCAGCUUGUUGGUGGGGUAGUGGCUUACCAAGGCUUUGACGGGUAGCCGGCCUGAGAGGGUGACCGGCCACAUUGGGACUGGGAUACGGCCCAGGCUCCUACGGGAGGCAGCAGUGGGGAAUAUUGCACAAUGGGCGGAAGCCUGAUGCAGCAACGCCGCGUGCGGGAUGACGGCCUUCGGGUUGUAAACCGCUUUCGCCUGUGACGAAGCGUGAGUGACGGUAAUGGGUAAAGAAGCACCGGCUAACUACGUGCCAGCAGCCGCGGUGAUACGUAGGGUGCGAGCGUUGUCCGGAUUUAUUGGGCGUAAAGGGCUCGUAGGUGGUUGAUCGCGUCGGAAGUGUAAUCUUGGGGCUUAACCCUGAGCGUGCUUUCGAUACGGGUUGACUUGAGGAAGGUAGGGGAGAAUGGAAUUCCUGGUGGAGCGGUGGAACGCGCAGAUAUCAGGAGGAACACCAGUGGCGAAGGCGGUUCUCUGGGCCUUUCCUGACGCUGAGGAGCGAAAGCGUGGGGAGCGAACAGGCUUAGAUACCCUGGUAGUCCACGCUGUAAACGGUGGGUACUAGGUGUGGGGUCCAUUCCACGGGUUCCGUGCCGUAGCUAGCGCUUUAAGUACCCCGCCUGGGGAGUACGGCCGCAAGGCUAAAACUCAAAGGAAUUGACGGGGCCCCGCACAAGCGGCGGAGCAUGCGGAUUAAUUCGAUGCAACGCGUAGAACCUUACCUGGGUUUGACAUGGAUCGGGAGUGCUCAGAGAUGGGUGUGCCUCUUUUGGGGUCGGUUCACAGGUGGUGCAUGGCUGUCGUCAGCUCGUGUCGUGAGAUGUUGGGUUAAGUCCCGCAACGAGCGCAACCCUUGUUCACUGUUGCCAGCACGUUAUGGUGGGGACUCAGUGGAGACCGCCGGGGUCAACUCGGAGGAAGGUGGGGAUGACGUCAAGUCAUCAUGCCCCUUAUGUCCAGGGCUUCACGCAUGCUACAAUGGCUGGUACAGAGAGUGGCGAGCCUGUGAGGGUGAGCGAAUCUCGGAAAGCCGGUCUCAGUUCGGAUUGGGGUCUGCAACUCGACCUCAUGAAGUCGGAGUCGCUAGUAAUCGCAGAUCAGCAACGCUGCAGUGAAUACGUUCCCGGG
rnacentral:rRNA from 1 species